rnacentral:miRNA from 12 species
CCUGCUCCUGCUCCUGACUCUGACCCUGACCCUGACCCUGGUCCUGGUCCUGGUCCUGGUCCUGAUGCUGACC